rnacentral:rRNA from 1 species
AUUGAACGCUGGCGGCAUGCCUAACACAUGCAAGUCGAACGAGUGGCGGACGGGUGAGUAAUGUCUGGGAAACUGCCUGAUGGAGGGGGAUAACUACUGGAAACGGUAGCUAAUACCGCAUACCAUCGGAUGUGCCCAGAUGGGAUUAGCUUGUUGGUGGGGUAACGGCUAACCAGGGCGACGAUCCCUAGCUGGUCUGAGAGGAUGACCAGCCACACUGGAACUGGGACACGGUCCAGACUCCUACGGGAGGCAGCAGUGGGAAAUAUUGCACAAUGGGCGAAAGCCUGAUGGAGCAAUGCCGCGUGUGUGAAGAAGGCCUUCGGGUUGUAAAAUUCUUUCAGCAGGGAGGCGGUACCCACAGAAAAAGCAACGGCUAACGACGUGCCAGCCGCCGCGGUAAUAC